rnacentral:rRNA from 1 species
AUUAUAUUUAAUGGCCGCGGUAUUUUGACCGUGCAAAGGUAGCAUAAUCAUUAGCUUAUUAAUUGUAAGAUGGUAUGAAUGGUUGGACGAAAUAUUAACUGUCUUCAUGUUUAUUUAUUGAAAUUAAUUUUUGAGUUAAAAAGCUUAAAUUUUUUUAGAGGACGAGAAGACCCUAUAGAUCUUUAUUUGUAUUAUUUUUAUUUAUUUUUGGUUUAUUUUUUUGUAAAAGUUUUAUUUUUUUUGUUGGGGUGACAUUUAGAUAAAAUUAACUCUUUUUUUUUUUUNCANUUNUUUUUGUU